CAGCAGCCGCGGGAAUACAGAGGGUGCGAGCGUUAAUCGGAUUUACUGGGCGUAAAGCGUGCGUAGGCGGCUUUUUAAGUCGGAUGUGAAAUCCCUGAACUUAACUUAGGAAUUGCAUUCGAUACUGGGAAGCUAGAGUAUGGGAGAGGAUGGUAGAAUUCCAGGUGUAGCGGUGAAAUGCGUAGAGAUCUGGAGGAAUACCGAUGGCGAAGGCAGCCAUCUGGCCUAAUACUGACGCUGAGGUACGAAAGCAUGGGGAGCAAACAGGAUUAGAUACCCCCGUAGUCCCUGUCUCUUAUAC
rnacentral:rRNA from 1 species